GACGAACGCUGGCGGCAGGCCUAACACAUGCAAGUCGAACGCGAAAGGGACUUCGGUCCUUAGUAGAGUGGCGCACGGGUGAGUAACGCGUGGGAACGUACCCUGGAGUAGGGAAUAACCAUUGGAAACGAUGGUUAAUACCGCAUAAUGUCUUCGGACCAAAGAUUUAUCGCUCUUGGAUCGGCCCGCGUUAGAUUAGUUUGUUGGUGGGGUAAUGGCCUACCAAGACUACGAUCUAUAGCUGGUUUGAGAGGACGACCAGCCACACUGGGACUGAGACACGGCCCAGACUCCUACGGGAGGCAGCAGUGGGGAAUAUUGGACAAUGGGCGCAAGCCUGAUCCAGCCAUGCCGCGUGAGCGAUGAAGGCCUUAGGGUUGUAAAGCUCUUUCAACGGUGAAGAUGAUGACGGUAACCGUAGAAGAAGCCCCGGCUAACUUCGUGCCAGCAGCCGCAGUAA
rnacentral:rRNA from 1 species